CCAUAAUCUAAUAUUUCAUAACAGUUUUAAAUUAAAAAUAACAACAAUAAACGAACUCCAAUUUUGUGAAAGAGGGAAACAAUAAAAGGCCAUAGAAACUUAAAAGGCUGUUAUAGUAGGUAAUAUAAUUAAGACAAAUGGAAUGGAUUAUGAAGGCAAAAAAAAAUCACAAAAAAGAAGCAUACCCUUUUUGUGGCAAAGAGAAAUUCAACUGUUUGUGUGGAAUUGAUGUGCAAAUUAAAUGCGGAGUAAAUUCAUUGGAGAAGUUGAUGCACAGAAACAAAGUGGAGAAGAAGAACGCCAUUUGCAAGUUAACGGGGGAUACCGAUUCGAUUCUUUGCCUCAAGCCUUAAGGUAAAGGUAACUAGUUCCCGGGAAGAUGGAUUCUCAGCUGGACAAUGUCAAUGGGGAAUGGCGAUUAUGCUUUUCGAACAAGUAGAAACACCUAGACAAGAGGAGAUGGUAAGCAGCCCAUUUCCAACCGAUUGUGAUUUCGAGUCUCAAGGUGGCUAGUUGUUGGAGAGAAGCAUGGCGCGGCUCUAUUUGGAAACAGCGUCUAAUUAUACUCGGUUUGUUCAAUAAAAUAAAAUAGAACCACCUACACACAAUUGCAAUAAAGGUACUUUGUCCAGGAAG
rnacentral:lncRNA from 1 species